rnacentral:rRNA from 1 species
AUUGAACGCUGGCGGCAUGCCUUACACAUGCAAGUCGAACGGCAGCACGGGUGCUUGCACCUGGUGGCGAGUGGCGAUCGGGUGAGUAAUACAUCGGAACGUACCUUAUCGUGGGGGAUAACGCAGCGAAAGCUGUGCUAAUACCGCAUACGCCCUGAGGGGGAAAGCGGGGGAUCGCAAGACCUCGCGCGAUUAGAGCGGCCGAUGCCUGAUUAGCUUGUUGGUGGGGUAAAAGCCCAUCAAGGCGACGAUCAGUAGCUGGUCUGAGAGGACGAUCAGCCACACUGGGACUGAGACACGGCCCAGACUCCUACGGGAGGCAGCAGUGGGGAAUUUUGGACAAUGGGGGGCAACCCUGAUCCAGCAAUGCCGCGUGAGUGAAGAAGGCCUUCGGGUUGUAAAGCUCUUUUGUCAGGGAAGAAACACCGGCUCUAACACAGUCUGGGAAUGACGGUACCUGAAGAACAAGCACCGGCUAACUACGUGCCAGCCGCCGCGGUAA